rnacentral:rRNA from 1 species
ACCUACGGGGGGCAGCAGUGAGGAAUAUUGGUCAAUGGGCGGGAGCCUGAAACAGCCAAGUCGCGUGAGGGAAGACGGUCCUAUGGAUUGUAAACCUCUUUAGGCGGGGAGCAGAGCCGGGCACGCGUGCCCGGAGGGAGAGUACCCGCAGAAUAAGCAUCGGCUAACUCCGUGCCAGCAGCCGCGGUAAUACGGAGGGGGCGAGCGUUGUUCGGAGUGACUGGGCGUAAAGAGAACGCAGGCGGUGUUGUAAGUCAUUAGUCAAAGACUA